rnacentral:rRNA from 1 species
CUCGGUGCUUCUGCUGAGUUGGCCACACUCGUUCCCAUUCCGAACACGACCGUUAAGCAACUCAAGGCCGAUGGUAGUAUGGCUUAUGCCAUGCAAGCGUAGGUAAGUGCCGAGG